GAAAUGAAAUUGCAUUUCCACACCGAAUUUCAAUUUGACGUCCACCGAUAUUAAUAUUCAAAAUGUUCAAAAAUUAUGGACAAAUUACAAAUGUGAAAAUGAUUGUGAAAAAAACAAUAAUUCAGCGGGUAGCCCCUCAAAGGCGGGUGAUUGUGGCCCAUAGAAGACGGCCAGUGGUGGCAGAGCCGGAGCCGGAGCUGUCAUCGCCGGAGCCGGUGUUGGCAGCACCAGUUCCGGUGUUGGCAGCACCGGAUAUAAAAAAAAUGAAUGAUAUAAAUAUAGAAAAAAAUGGAUGGAAUUAAGAGAGAAGGAUAAUAUAAAUGAAGACGGAACGUAUUCCGAGGUUCAAUUUUAAAUUCCUCGUUUAUGCUCAUCGCCUCCGCCGUCUUGGCCUGAGCUUCCGCCGCCGCCACCUACAGCCAGCCUAAGUGGUCAAGAGCGCCGCUGACAUCCAGCCCGAGGGCAAAUACCCCUACAACUCCACCGGUGGCUUCUCCUCGUACUCUGCUGAGGGUGAGCUCUUGCAGAUCUAGUAUCUGGCUGACGCCAACGGGAACCCACUUAAAAAAAACGCGCCUAUCAUUCUACCUCAAAGGUGGUGCGAAAAAGAGUGAUUUUAUAUUAUCAAAGCAUUAGGAAUAGGAAUGGCAAUUUAAGGUGGCCUUAAUUCUAAACUACUUUUGAUCUACUUGUUAAAAUUGUUAAAUUGUCUCAAUGCACCGGUUUUAAAUUUUCAGAAACAGACAAAAAGAAAGUAUAUGAAUAAGAUUUAUUUAAAAAUUAAUAAUAUGAAUAAUAUAUAUGUAUAUAAAUAAUAUGAAAUAUAAUAAAAUUAAUAAUAUAUGUU